rnacentral:rRNA from 1 species
UGACAUACACCGGAAACCUCCAGAGAUGGGUGCCCCCUUGUGGUCGGUGUACAGGUGGUGCAUGGCUGUCGUCAGCUCGUGUCGUGAGAUGUUGGGUUAAGUCCCGCAACGAGCGCAACCCUUGUCCCGUGUUGCCAGCAGGCCCUUGUGGUGGUGGGGACUCACGGGAGACCGCCGGGGUCAAAUCGGAGGAAGGUGGGGAAGACGUCAAGUCAUCAUGCCCCUUAUGUCUUGGGCUGCACACGUGCUACAAUGGCCGGUACAAAGAGGUGGGAUACCGUGAGGGGGAGGGAAUCUCAAAAAGCCGGUUUCAGUUCGGAAUGGC